AUUGAACGCUGGCGGCAGGCCUAACACAUGCAAGUCGAACGAGCGGCGGACGGGGGAGGAAUGUCUGGGAAACUGCCUGAUGGAGGGGGAUAACUACUGGAAACGGGAGCUAAUACAGCAUACCAUCAGAUGUGCCCAGAUGGGAGUAGAUAGUAGGUGGGGGAAUGGCUCCCCUAGGCGACGCGCCCUAGCUGGUCUGAGAGGAUGACCAGCCACACUGGAACUGAGACACGGUCCAGACUCCUACGGGAGGAAGCAGUGGGGAAUAUUGCACAAUGGGCGCAAGCCUGAUGCAGCCAUGCCGCGUGUGUGAAGAAGGCCUUCGGGUUGUAAAGUACUUUCAGCGGGGAGGCGUUACCCGCAGAAGAAGCACCGGCUAACUCCGUGCCAGCCGCCGCGGUAAUAC
rnacentral:rRNA from 1 species